AAUAUUUAAAGUGCACAACACAAAAUUUGAUAUCCAAAUCUAAAAUUUUAUAAAUUUUAUUACAUAUUCUUUUCUCUCUUUUUUUUUUUAGAGAUAGGUAACACGCUACCUGCUUCGUUUUAUUUCAUUUAGAAAUAAACUUAGCUGGAAAUAUGAAUCAACUAGGAUUCGAACUUGGGUCUCAGUUACCACUCACUAAAUCUUUUGCCACUUGCUCUAGGGACGAUCGAUAUUUUAUUACAUAUUCUUAAUCUACUGUUCUAGAAGCUGACCUUUUCUUCUAUAAAAAUCUAAGAACUUUUCCCUCUAGAGUCUAGACUAGAAUGCGUUUGGUUGGAGAACUAAAUUUUGGAGAACAACUUUUGUUGUUCCCGAGAACAGGGGAUAUUCCGGUACAAGAUAGAACAAUUGUAAAUUUGUGUUUGGAUGCAUUCGAGGAUAUUCUAGAGGAUAUCCUUAAUAGCGUUUGGAUAAAAAGUCUAGAACAACGUCUAAAUAUAUUUUUAAAAAUAAAAUAAUUAAUUUAUAUUAGUAUAUUUUAUAUAAAAUUAUUUAUAAAAUUAUUUCAUAUAGUAAUUUAUAAUAUAAUAUUUUAUGUAAGA
rnacentral:lncRNA from 1 species